rnacentral:tRNA from 1 species
AGCGAAAUAGUGUAACUGGAUAGCACUAUAGCCUCAUGAGCUGUCAAUUUAGGUUCAAAUCCUGAUUUCGCUA